GGGCGGGUGGCGGAAUUGGCAGACGCGUUGGACUUAAAAUCCAAUCUCUUUAAACAGAGGUGAGAGUUCAAGUCUCUCCUCGCCCA
rnacentral:tRNA from 1 species